UACGGAGGGUGCAAGCGUUAAUCGGAAUUACUGGGCGUAAAGCGCACGUAGGCGGUUUGUUAAGCAAGAUGUGAAAGCCCAGGGCUCAACCUUGGAAUAGCAUUUUGAACUGGCAGGCUAGAGUUUUGAAGAGGGUGGUAGAAUUUCCAGUGUAGCGGUGAAAUGCGUAGAUAUUGGAAGGAAUACCAGUGGCGAAGGCGGCCACCUGGUCAAGAACUGACGCUGAGGAGCGAAAGCGUGGGGAGCAAAC
rnacentral:rRNA from 1 species